ensembl:snRNA U4 U4 spliceosomal RNA
AGCUUUGCGCAGUGGCAGUAUCGUAGCCAAUGAGGUUUAUCCGAGGCGCGAUUAUUGCUAAUUGAAAAUAAAAAGUUCUUCAAGAAGGC